rnacentral:rRNA from 1 species
GGUUGCGAUCAUACCAGCACUAAUGCACUGGAUCCCAUCAGGACUCCGCAGUUAAGCGUGCUUGGGCGAGAGUAGUACUAGGAUGGGUGACCCCCUGGGAAGUCCUCGUGUUGCAACCCC